AGAAGAGGUGGCACCAACCAAUAGGCUUGGAGCCUGGAUGGAAUAAAAAGGGAAGGAAGUGUGCUCCUUGCUUCACCGUCCUCUUAGGACGUUCACUUCCAGUUCCUUCAGGCUUCCAGCACGGACCCUUUGGCUUUCACACACACACCAGACCGUGCAGCACUCUCCAGGCUUUGCCCUUCACCGGAUGUUCCAGUCCUCCAGUGCACAGCCGACUCUGCAUUCUUCCACCUCUACUCCACAGGCGGUCGUUGUGAGCUUACCUGCUAAGUUCUUCGUGCAGUCAUAGACCUACGCCCUGUUCUCCUAGUGAGCCUCACUAACACAGAAGCAGAGUUUGAAAUAGAGACAAACACAGAGGGGAUCUACUUCACCAAGCUAGAAAAGCGUUCAGUUCGAGGAGGCCAGAGAGCGCCAGAGUUUCCUUUCCCCAGAUGGAAAAUAAGAAAAUGCCUAUGCCGUGGACGUGGAAGGACCUGAGUGGAACGGUGCCUGCAGCCCUCGCUAGUGCUCGUCAUGUGGAAAGAGCCCUACGUGUGCCGACCUGUGGGGCCCUCUGGUAUCGAUCUCAGGUGUGCAUCCUGGGAGCCGCUUCAUCUGCAGACCGGAGGACAACGGAGUGACCUGCCCAUGGUGACACGUGUAGCUCAGGUCCAGAGGGGAGUGGACUGAGAGCUUCUCUCCAUCAGAGCCCACAGUCUGGCCGCCUUCAUGCAAGAGACAGAAAGGGGACCCACAGCUGCUCCCCACGCAGGACACAGCCAGAGAUGCCUUAGGCCGACCCCGGGGGAUGCCAGCACCUUGACUCUGGCUGCCUGGGAUCCUCUCCCCUGAGAAAUAAAGUGUUACUAUUUAUUA